GACGAACGCUGGCGGCGGGCUUAACACAUGCAAGUCGAACGGAAAGGCCCUGCUUUUGUGUGGUUCUCGCGUGGCGAACGUGUGAGUUACAUGUGAGUCACCUUCCCUGUGCUUUGUGAUAACUUGAGGAGACUGGUGCUAAUACCUGAUACGUGCUCCUGCUGCAUGGGGGUGUUUGGAACGUUUCGGCGGUUGGGGAUGGACUCGCGGCUUAUUAGCUUGUUGGUUGGGUAGUGGCUUACCAAGGGUUUGAUGGGUAGCCGGCAUGAGAGGGUGAACGGCCACAUUGGGACUGAGAUACGGACCAGAGUCCUACGGGAGGCAGCAGUGGGGAAUAUUGCACAAUGGGCGGAAGCCUGAUGCAGAAACGCCGCGUGCGGGAUGAAGGCCUUCGGGUGGUAAACCGCUUUAGGUUGUGACGAAGCGUGAGUGACGGUAAUGGGUAAAGAAGCACCGGCUAACUACGUG
rnacentral:rRNA from 1 species